rnacentral:rRNA from 1 species
AGUCUGGUGCCAGCAGCCGCGGUAAUUCCAGCUCCAAUAGUGUAUAUUAAAGUUGCUGCGGUUAAAAAGCUCGUAGUUGGAUUUCGGAAUGUCAUCUGGUCAAAGCUCGUCCUUGUGGCGUGGCUCGGCUGGUGCUUCCUAUCAUUUGGGUGGUCGCAAGACUGUUCAAAUCAUUUACUUUGAAAAAAUUAGAGUGUUCAAAGCAGGCGUAACUUGCCAUUGAAUAUUACAGCAUGGGAUAAUAGAAUAUGACGUUGGUCUUAUUUUGUUGGUUUCUAAGGCUGAUGUAAUGAUUAAUAGGGAUAGUUGGGGUCGCUCGUAUUGAGUUGUCAGAGGUGAAAUUCUAGGAUUUACUCAAGACGAACUAGUGCGAAAGCAUUCGACAAGGAUGUUUUCAUUAAUCAAGAACGAAAGUUGGGGGAUCGAAGAUGAUCAGAUACCGUCGUAGUCUCAACCAUAAACUAUGUGGACCAAGGAUCCGAGGACGUUACAUGGAUGACUCUCCGGGCACUUUGUGAGAAAUCAUAAGUAUUUGCAUUCCGGGGGGAGUAUGGUCGCAAGGCUGAAACUUAAAGGAAUUGACGGAAGGGCACCACCAGGAGUGGAACCUGCGGCUUAAUUUGACUCAACACGGGGAAACUUACCAGGUCCGGACACUAUGAGGAUUGACAGAUUAAGAGCUCUUUCUUGAUUUAGUGGGUGGUGGUGCAUGGCCGUUUUUAGUUGGUGGAGUGAUUUGUCUGGUUAAUUCCGUUAACGAACGAGACCUUAACCUAUUAAUUAGUGACGUGAAUUUGGUGGGCAACCGCCAGUCGAUUCAUGGUUUUGACACUUCUUAGAGGGACUCUCGGCAUCUCUAGCCGAUGGAAGUUUGAGGCAAAAACAGGUCUGUGAUGCCCUUAGAUGCCCUGGGCUGCACGCGCGUUACACUGACGAUUGCAACGAGUGAUAUUCCUUGCCCGAUGGGGCUGGGUAAGCUUUGAAAAGAUCGUCGUGAUGGGGAUUGAACCUUGCAAUUAUUGUUCAUGAACGAGGAAUUCCUAGUAAGCGCAGUUCAUCAAACUGCGCUGAUUACGUCCCUGCCCUUUGUACACACCGCCCGUCGCUCCUACCGAUUGAAUGGUCCGGUGAGAACUCAGGACGGCAGUAUUUUAGCUUGCUCGCAAGGGUAAGCGGGUACAGCCGGAAUUUGUUCAAACCUUACCAUUUAGAGGAAGGAGAAGUCGUAACAAGGUUUCCGUAGGUGAACCUGCGGAAG